rnacentral:ncRNA from 1 species
ACCGGCGGAAUGCAACAAUAUCCACCCGUAAGGCGAUGACGAUGCAGGAAGCCGGUGUGAAUCCGGCGCGGUCCCGCCACUGUCAUCGGGGAGCCACCCUCAUAUGCCACGGCGUCCAGCUGGAAGGUGAGGCGAGCGACGAUCCGAGAGCCAGGAGACUCGCGUCAUCGCGUCCUGCGAC